rnacentral:rRNA from 1 species
CCUACGGGUGGCAGCAGUGGGGAAUAUUGGGCAAUGGACGCAAGUCUGACCCAGCAACGCCGCGUGAAGGAAGAAGGCUUUCGGUUUGUAAACUUCUUUUAAGAGGGAAGAGCAGAAGACGGUACCCCUUGAAUAAGCCACGGCUAACUACGUGCCAGCAGCCGCGGUAAUACGUAGGUGGCAAGCGUUGUCAGGAUUUACUGGGUGUAAAGGGCGUGCAGCCGGAGGUGCAAGUCAGAUGUGAAAUCCCAGGGCUUAACCGUGGGACUGCUUUUGAAACUGAGUAGCGAGAGUGCAGGAGAGGUAAGCGGAAUUCCUAGUGUAGCGGUGAAAUGCGUAGAUAUUAGGAGGAACACCAGUGGCGAAGGCGGCUUACUGGACUGUAACUGACGUUGAGGCUCGAAAGCGUGGGGAGCAAACAGGAUUAGAUACCCUUGUAGUC